rnacentral:rRNA from 1 species
UACAGAGGGUGCGAGCGUUGUCCGGAAUCACUGGGCGUAAAGGGCGCGUAGGUGGUGGCUUAAGCGUGCGGUGAAAGCUCGGGGCUCAACUCCGAGUCGGCCGUGCGAACUGGGCUCACUGGAGCAUAGUAGAGGCAGGUGGAAUUCCGGGUGUAGCGGUGGAAUGCGUAGAGAUCCGGAAGAACACCGGUGGCGAAGGCGGCCUGCUGGGCUAUGGGCUGACACUGAGGC